CCCCAUGUCAACUCGCCAUGUUUUAACAACAGCUGAUAGCGGUUUGUCUACAUUUUUAAAAGAAGCAUGGCCUGCAAGACAUCGAUAGUGGAAAUUUCAGCUCAACUAACGUAUGACAGAUCAUAAAGCUCAAAACGAACUCUUGUUACCACAUUACUUUUACCUGUUGAUUCGUAUGGUUUCAGCUCUUGAGGUUAACCUGUCACCUCUACCCACAUGCAUAGUCCUUGUGUUCUACAGACUAUCUACCGGUAUUUCAAAUUAAAACGGAUAAUGCAUGAACAAUAAUGGAACUUUAAGAAAGCAUCAUGCCCUAUUGUGGUUUGUUCAUGUUUGAUAAGAAAUUAUAAAAAACAAAAUUAAGGCUGUUUAAAGAAAUAUGAUUGUUGUGAAAAUUUGUUUUUCAAUGAAAGUAUGCAAUUA